CCAACAGCAACCAUGAGCUUCAUCACCAUCUUCAUCUGGAUAUUAACUAUCUACUGUUUCACAGAAUCAAGAGGUGAAGUGACAGUCACUCAGACGCCUGCAGUGAAAUCUGUUCGUCCAGGAGACUCAGUUACUGUAUCCUGUAAAACCAGUCCUGACGUCUAUCAGGGUUGGAGUAAUCAACCUCUACACUGGUACUUACAGAAACCUGGAGAAGCUCCUAAACUCCUGAUUUAUUUAGCAAACACCCUCCAGUCAGGAACUCCAUCUAGAUUCAGUGGCAGUGGAUCUAACAGUGAUUUCACUCUGACCAUCAGUGGAGUCCAGACUGAAGAUGCUGGACAUUAUUACUGUCAGAGUUAUCACAGUGGUAAUGUGUUCACACAGUGA